ACCUGGCCAGAAGCGGCACUCUUUCAACUGCAGGACUGCUCCUAGACCACAGCCUGGUCAAUGUUCAACCAUCUGGAGCUACAGGAGAGGACAGAUGCUGUGCUGUCUUAUAGUAGACACUAUAUAAACUGUCACUGUGGAUAAGCGGCGCUGGGUCUAUCCUAACCAAAAACCGUGGCUGACCUGAGAGCCCAAGGCACUUAUGAGGGUCUGAAACUCUACCUUCCACUUGGGGGAUUUAGAGCAAUGCAGCAGGACUAGAUCAUACCUCAGGAGAGGCAUUAAGGCUGCGAAAGUGGAGUAAAUGAGGAAAGUGGAUAUGUACUUAGACAACAGAGACACGGUGGGUGUGGCAAGGCAUCCAACACCCGACGAGUUACAAAAAUAACUUAUCUGCGGCCAACAACACGGAAGACUCUUUAGCGGAGGAGCUCAAUCACUUCUUUGCCCGUUUCAAGUCAUCCAAACCAACCACACUCCAGAUGCCCCGCCUAUCCUCUACUCAUCAACUGCUCAUCCUCCAAGAACACCAGGUGAGGCGGUCACUGUAGGCUAUAAACCCGCGUAAAGUGGCUGGGUCGUAUGGCAUAUCGGGCAAGGUGUUCCGGGACUGUGCAGACCAACUGGUGGCGGUACUAACACAGAUAUUCAAUUAAUUCCUGGCACAAGCCCAAGUCCUGCCCUGACUUAAGGCAGCCACUGUCAUUCCAAUCCCCAAAAGGACAGCCAUAAAUGACUUAAAUGAUCACAGAACAGUAGCAUUGACGUCUGUGUUAAGAAGUGUUUUGAAAGGCUUGUUUUCCAAUCAAUCAAAGCCUGCCUCUCCCAAAACUUUGAUCCUCACCAGUUUACCUAUACGGGCUAAACCGGCCCACAGAGGACACCAUCACCACUGCUCUCCACUCAGCUGGAGAACAUCUGGAUACAAUUCAAUUCUAUACCAUAAUCCCCGACAUCCUGGUGGAAAAGCUGAGCUUCCUGGGUCUACCUCCUCUCAUCUGUUCCUCCUUUCUGCCCGACCGACCUCAGGUUGUUGAGGUGGAUCAGCUAUGCUCCUCCACACUCUCAGUCAGCACUGGCUCCCCUCAGGGCUUUGCGUUGAGCCCCUUCCUGUUCAUACGUGUGCCUGUGUCCCCAUUCAUCCCUCGAACACCAUCAUUAAGUUUGCUGGCGACACCACAGUGGAGGGCCAGAUCAAGUGGGGGUGAUGAAACAGCCUACAGAGAGGAAAUGCCAGGGUUGUGCACCAAAAAUAACCUGAGGCUGAACAUUACAAAGACCAAAGAGAUUGUCAUUGAUAUUAAAAGACAGCAAGGGGAACAGCCCCACUUGUGGUAAAUGGAUGUGUGGAGGCAGUGACCUCCUUUAAGUUCCUUGGAACUUUCAUCUCGGAGGACCUCACUGCCAACACUUCAGCACCGGUCACAAAGGCACAGCAGAGACUCCACUUCUUUCGUGUGCUGCAGAGGAACCAACUUGGGGAGAAACUAAAAGAAGGCUCUGCAAAGGGUGACCGAGACAGCAGAGAAGAUUAUAGUCCGCCCUCUACCCUCCCUGGAGGACAUUGCUCGAUCUCGCGGCCUCGGAUGAGCAAAGAAAAUCCUGGCAGACAACUCUCGCUCUGGUCAGCACUUGUUCAACCUGCUGCCAUCAGGGAAGAGAGUUUGGUCACACAAGAGCAGGACAGAGGACUGACCAUCCUUGAGCCAGCUUAGGGUGGGAGGGGGUACUCCCUCUGCCAGGCACUCCAGCUCCAGUGGGCUGUUAACUGCAAUGGUCAGCUCCUCUGGGGUGCCCUCAGAGCGGGAUAUCCUUGGAGGCUCUGGAUUAUGAUAAGGAAAGGUAUUAUGACUGAAAUGGUCAAAACAGAUUUAGGUAUUAGGUUGCAAAAACAGAUAAUUCCUGUUGUUUAUUCAUAAAGAACAUUCCUUUAUUGUGUAUGCAAGGUUAUAUUCACCACACAACAUAGUAUAAAACCACAAAUAGUUUAGGAUAUUUAGAUGUUUUGGAGUUACCUAGUAUGGUGA